rnacentral:rRNA from 1 species
GCGCGAAAACUUUACCAUGCGGGCAACCGUGAUAAGGAAACCCCGAGUGCCAGCACAGGCUGGCUGUCCGCCAGUUUAAAUAACUGGUGAAGAAAGGGCCGGGCAAGACCGGUGCCAGCCGCCGCGGUAAUACCGGCGGCUCGAGUGGUGGCCGCUAUCACUGGGCUUAAAGGGUCCGUAGCUUGAUAACUGGGUCCCUUGAGAAAUCCGCUGGCUUAACUUGCGGGCGUUCAGGGGAAACUUGUUUUCUUGGGACCGGGAGAGGUGGGGGUACUGCCGGGGUAGGAGUGAAAUCCUGUAAUCCCGGUGGGACCACCUAUGGCGAAGGCAUCUCACCAGAACGGGUCCGACAGUGAGGGACGAAAGCUGGGGGAGCAAACUGGAUUAGAAACCCCAGUAG